rnacentral:rRNA from 1 species
AUUGAACGCUGGCGGCAGGCCUAACACAUGCAAGUCGAACGGUAACAGGAAGAAGCUUGCUUCUUUGCUGACGAGUGGCGGACGGGUGAGUAAUGUCUGGGAAACUGCCUGAUGGAGGGGGAUAACUACUGGAAACGGUAGCUAAUACCGCAUAACGUCGCAAGACCAAAGAGGGGGACCUUCGGGCCUCUUGCCAUCGGAUGUGCCCAGAUGGGAUUAGCUAGUAGGUGGGGUAACGGCUCACCUAGGCGACGAUCCCUAGCUGGUCUGAGAGGAUGACCAGCCGCACUGGAACUGAGACACGGUCCAGACUCCUACGGGAGGCAGCAGUGGGGAAUAUUGCACAAUGGGCGCAAGCCUGAUGCAGCCAUGCCGCGUGUAUGAAGAAGGCCUUCGGGUUGUAAAGUACUUUCAGCGGGGAGGAAGGGAGUAAAGUUAAUACCUUUACUCAUUGACGUUACCCGCAGAAGAAGCACCGGCUAACUCCGUG